rnacentral:rRNA from 1 species
UACGUAGGGGGCGAGCGUUGUUCGGAAUUACUGGGCGUAAAGAGCUCGUAGGCGGUGUGUCACGUCGGCCGUGAAAACCUGCAGCUUAACUGUGGGCGUGCGGUCGAUACGGGCAUCACUGGAGUUCGGCAGGGGAGACUGGAAUUCCUGGUGUAGCGGUGAAAUGCGCAGAUAUCAGGAGGAACACCGGUGGCGAAGGCGGGUCUCUGGGCCGAAACUGACGCUGAGGAGCGAAAGCGUGGGGAGCAAACAGG